GAUGAACGCUGGCGGCGUGCCUAAUACAUGCAAGUCGAGCGAACGGACGAGAAGCUUGCUUCUCUGAUGUUAGCGGCGGACGGGUGAGUAACACGUGGAUAACCUACCUAUAAGACUGGGAUAACUUCGGGAAACCGGAGCUAAUACCGGAUAAUAUUUUGAACCGCAUGGUUCAAAAGUGAAAGACGGUCUUGCUGUCACUUAUAGAUGGAUCCGCGCUGCAUUAGCUAGUUGGUAAGGUAACGGCGUACCAAGGCAACGAUGCAUAGCCGACCUGAGAGGGUGAUCGGCCACACUGGAAGUGAGACACGGUCCAGACUCCGAAGCGAGGCAGCAGCAGGGAAUCUGCCGCAAUGGGCGAAAGCGUGAAGGAGCAACGCCGCGGGAGUGAUGAAGGUCUGCGGAUCGUAAAACUCUGUUAGUAGGGAAGAACAUAUGUGUAAGUAACUGUGCACAUCUGGACGGUACCUAAGCAGAAAGCCACGGCUAAUUCCGU
rnacentral:rRNA from 1 species